rnacentral:sRNA from 1 species
UAAUUUCGUUCGGACGUUUUACUAUUACGCCAACGAACAAAUAAAACUUUUGACCCGAUUAUUAAAAAAGGGAAUUCCGUUCGAAAAAGGCCCCGAAUAAAAAUCUGCCUUUAAAACGUUAAAACAACUGGUGGUUACCGCCCCCGUAAUAAAUUUUUUCAAAUCCGGUAUAUUUAUUAGGAUAAAUACCGACGCCAAUAGUAGGGCCACCGCCGAUAUUAUAUAAUAAUAAUAGGACGAUGGUAAUUGGAAAUUAAUCGGUUAUUCGUCCAAAAUUAUAUCCCCUGUUAAAUAAAAUUAUCCGAUUUAAAAUUAGAAGUUAUUAAUUGUAAUUAAUACGUUAAAGGAUUUCGAACCAACCCUGUUAAAUACCAAAUUUUAUAUUUUUACCAAUUACCAGGUUUUAAUUUAUUAGUUAACCAAGAAAUUUUUAUCCGUUCGCCAAAUACGAUGGGCUAAUUACCUGGCCAAUUUCGAUAUUAUUUUUAAAUACCGUUCCGGCAAAGAUAAUAUAGCAACCGAUACCCUUUCGCGCAAAAUUAUCGAUAACCCUACGGUUAAAACCCGAAUUAUAUUAGAUCGCACCAUUGCAUUAAUUCCUCCAAAAAAAAUCGAUUCCCGAUCCGGCGAACCUUUUCCAACCAUUAGCAAUUUGGAACCCUCCGCACCGCAGGAAAUUAACCUAAUAACCUUUAUCCUGGAAAAAAACCUGAAAUAAAAUUUAAAUUACCACGACAAUUUAUUAACGGUACCCGAAAUUACCCAGGAUAGCAAAAUCUUUUUAAAAACGGCUUUUAUCCGCGAAAUUUAUAAACCUAAGAUUUUCGGCUAUAGAGGCCAAAAUAAAACCUUUAACCGCCUAAAAAAGAAUUAUUAGUGGCCCGACCGAAAUCGAAACGUUAAACGUUAUAUUAAAAAUUAUCGCGAAUAUUAACGUAACAAAAUAUAAUAUAAUAAAACGCCUGGGUUAUUGCACCCAUUGGAAAUUCCUAAACGGUAUUGGUAAUACGUAAUAGUAAACGGCAAAAAUAUAUCCAAAAAUAAAAAAGGUUAUAAUUACGUUUGGGUUUUUAUUUACCGAUUAACCAAAUUUUUAACCAUUUUACCGGGAAAAAAAACGGACACCGCGGAAAUCUUGGCCAUACGGUAUUAUUAAACCGUAUACCGUUGGAAAAACGUCCCCGAUUUAUAAUUUUCCAAUAACGCCGGACCGUUUAUAUUCCAAUUUUUAAAUAUUUUAAACAAAUUAACAGAAAUAAAAUAUAAAUAUAAAAACGCCCGCCACCUUUAAAAUUAGGGCAACGUCGAAAUUACUAACGUUAAAUUGGAUUAAAAAAUGCGUUUUUAUAUAAACAAAUACUAAACGAAUUGGCGACGGCAUAUUCCCGUUUUCGACUUCGGUUAUAAUUCGUCCGUUUACGCCUUUAUUAAUAUA